AGCGAACGCUGGCGGCAGGCUUAACACAUGCAAGUCGAGCGGGCGUAGCAAUACGUCAGCGGCAGACGGGUGAGUAACGCGUGGGAACGUACCUUUUGGUUCGGAACAACCCAGGGAAACUUGGGCUAAUACCGGAUAAGCCCUUACGGGGAAAGAUUUAUCGCCAAAAGAUCGGCCCGCGUCUGAUUAGCUAGUUGGUGAGGUAACGGCUUACCAAGGCGACGAUCAGUAGCUGGUCUGAGAGGAUGAUCAGCCACAUUGGGACUGAGACACGGCCCAAACUCCUACGGGAGGCAGCAGUGGGGAAUAUUGGACAAUGGGCGCAAGCCUGAUCCAGCCAUGCCGCGUGAGUGAUGAAGGCCCUAGGGUUGUAAAGCUC
rnacentral:rRNA from 1 species